CUGAUUUACAGAAUUCUGACCAUCAAAAGAUUGCUUGUAAUACAAGUGGCACAUUGAUCUAUCUCAGUUGGUGUUUGGUUACCUGAUGCCCUAAUUCUCAUCUUUGAUUGAACAUUCCAGUUUCCCCUAUGCCUUUAUAAGGCACAGUACUUGUCUUAAAAAAUUAAACUUCACCAAAAUCACCACAUAUAUAGAAUACUGGAAAAUAAGGCUGAAAGGAAUGUAUUUCUCCAGUCAUUCCCUGCUCCACAGAAGACUGUUCAUAUUUGUGCCAUUGGUGAAAUGUUUAUUGUAACCUAGUUUAAAAACCAAGGAAUAAAUGAGGAAGAUUCUGCAAAAUAUGGAAUUUUAUGAAGGUAAAAAACAUCCUUACCAUCAGCCAAUGAUCAGCCUCAUAGGCUGAGAGCCCAACUGCUUAUUUUGCUACUUAAGAGCAACAUGUGUGUGUAUAUAUAUGUAUGCCUUAGAAAUGCCAUGAUAAUAAAGAACAGUGUUAUUUUUGGAGAUUUCCUAAAUCUCAAGGUAGCAAAAAAAAGGUUUGAAUCACCAACAGUUAAAAUCCUUUUUGGAAGUGGGAAUUGCAAAUUAUAUAAUGUUUCUGAGUUUGUGGUUAAGAGUUGGUAGUUUCAGCCAUCUCUUCAGUUCUAAAUGGCUCUGAAACUUCUUUGAUUGCACGUUCCUAUCAGAAAAAACAUUUUGAGCGUGUGGUCCAAUCAACAGUUUUCCCAAGUUACAUGCGUGUAUUACAGUAUACAUUGUAAAACUUACAUAAACCCAAGAAGUUAAAAAAGGAUGAGGUAAAGAUUAAAUGAAGACUAUUUUUGAAACAUUUACUUAUCUGUAUUCAUUAAUUAAAAACCAUUUAAAAAUGGUUUUUAAAAAAUCAAAAACCAUUUUCACCCUGCAGCCUUACAGAUUGUCUUGCAAAGCUUCCUGGGGAGUGUGGCCUCCUCUUUGGAGACCACUGAUGUAGACACCAUAAAUACUUAUUGUUGCAGAUGUCAUCCGAAUGUUCCACUGUUACAACAUCUCUAUGCUAAGUAGUUCUUCUACUAGAGAUUGAAGACUGACUCUAGUAGAAUGACUGCUCCCUCUGAAAAGAAAAUAAGAGGAGAGAGCAGCACAAGAAGCACUGAUAAACAGCCUGACAUAGGAGAAGUUUGUAUCUGGAUCAGCUCAUAAUAUGGAGAAACAUGUCCAAGUGGAUUGGGAAAAAGGAAUUGUUUCAGAAUAUAUAGUAAUAUGCAGAAUACAGCAGUAGCUUUUGUAUUUUCAUAAAUGUUUCUACUUCAUUUACAGCUAAGUAUUAGUCAAUAAAUUCCAAAUUCUGUUUUCUCUUGUUACCUGGUGUAGUCACACUAAAAUCAGGAACAACACUUACAUACAGGAGCUAAGCUGGAUCUGGAUUUUGAUAUCCAGGCAGCUAAAUAGUCUCCAGUGCACAUCAGGUACCACUUAGGACUGUGGACAACUGGUGUGCUUUUCUCAUUAACUUCUUAGUUAUCAUACAGCCUCUCAAAGUAUUCUGUGGACCACAGGCUGGAAAUCUCAGAACUGAAUUUUUACAGAGUGAAAUGAGAUUGCAUGUACAAAACAGAAAAUAUUUUGAAUAGAGAGUUGGUUGGAAUCUUGUUACAUAUAAUAACAAGCAAAGUUUGUAUGUGAGACAAAACUCAUAGAGAAAGGGUUUUAAAUCCAGUCAGGCUGGAGAUGUGAUGAAGAGAAAUAAUUUCUGAUAGUAGAGGCAAGGGAGUCUGAAGCCUAUGUCAGUCUGUCAUCAGAGAUAGAAAUGAGGCAGGAAAACAGAUUUUGCUGAUCUUUAGCAUCACCAGCUGUUGCUGUGAGGAGGAAUCUCACCAGACUUUCCAUGUGUAAUAUAUGCUAGGCAUACUGGCCCUUGGGAACUGGAUCUUGGGGAGAAGAGCUGAAAGUUCCAUUGAUGCACAAACUAAAUGUAGCACCUGCCUACUUGAAUGGGUGGUCUUGUGGAUUAAAGGUGUUACUGCACUGAGUUUACAUGACAGUAACAUUUGGGAAGAAGAGUGUUCCUCUGGCCCUGGAAAUGGGCCUGUAACUGCUGCUUCUCAGCGUAGUGGGAGAGAGAGGCACAUAAAUGUAUGUCAGCUUUUUUGAUGAGCAGAGACCAAGGUGACUUAGUGACUGAUCAGGAAAGAAUUUUUAUUUUUUUUUGUUAUAAACAGCAAGGCAUUUAGAACGUUUUCAGGUCCUCCACAGUUCUCCAUGUGUCUGUCAGUACAAAAGAGUUCUGGUUUUGGUUUUUUUUCUUUUAGAUGUGACAUACCCCAAAGCAUCCUGUUUUCUGCAGCUUUGAUGUGGUAGAGAUUUGAAGAAGACAGAUUAUUUUCCAUUCUUGUCAUAGACUUUCACAGGCAGGCAAGGGGUGAUAUUUGUGAAAAGAGGAAAUGAAUACGUUCCUCAUGCUGACUGAAUAGUAGGUGAUGGAUUAAGCUGAUAAAAAAGUUAAAAUUCACAUUGCACCUAUGCAAGGCAUUUUCAAGGUAUUUUUUGCAUCCCUCCUUUGUUCCCUUUAGAAACAGUACAAGUGUUACUAGAAUAUACAGUCUGCAUAGUAGUAUGUCUGUAUUAAGCUCUGCCAAGUCUAUGCAUGAAGGGCUUAUAAAAGAUUUAUGUGAAUUUCUGUGUCUGCUCUUUUAUUUGGAGGCAGGUUGCUGUAUGCAGCUAUGUACAGUAUUCUGUCUUAGAGUAAUAGAUAUUUUUUGCUUAUUUGGAAGGAGGGAACUGUGUUUGGACAGUUAACUAUAUAAUACUGUUAUCCAUUUCUAUAGGAAGCAGAACAGCUAAGAAAAAGUAUUUUUGUAUUAGACAAAUUGCAAUAUAAUUGAGGUUUUUAAUACAGAAACGGAAAAAAAAAUGUUUUAUUCAAAGGUCAUUGGAAUUUUUUUCAAUAAAGUGCUCUAAUAGCAAGAAACGAAUUCCACAGAAUCACAGUAUCAGUUAGGUUGGAACAGACCUCUGAGGCCAUCAAGUCCCAGCUUUUGAGCAAACACAAUCUUGUCAGGUAGACCAUGGCACUGAGUGCCACAUGCAGUCUUUUCUUAAACACCUCCAGGAAUGGCGACUCCAUCGCCUCCCUGGGCAGCCCAUUCCAAUGCUAGACAACUCUUCUGUGAACAAAUGCCUCCUGUUUAUCUGUGUUGUGAAACAGUUACAUUUUGAGGAGAGAGAAACUGAAGAGGUGAAAGCUGUCCGUGAUGUUACAUGUACUGAAGGGGAAGAUGCUCUGAAGCAGAGAAAGAAGCCUAAGCAGUAGCUGUAUGCAGUUACCCUUUUGGUUCUGUCAUACCAAUGCAGUGGGAAGCCAGGAGUCCAGAUGAAUGUUUCAGUUACAUCUUGAUGAGGAAUGGGAAUGUCACACUGACUGUGCAGCUGUAUAUAUGUCAUCUGUAAAUAUUUCAUUUACAAGAAGUGUGGUUUGUCCAAGAGGGUGUGUGCAGUUUCCCUUCCUUGAUGCUACUGUGCAGAGCACAGCCUGGUAGUCUUUAUUCUCUGGAUUCUUUCUGUUCAGUGGUAUUGUGCAUUAGGCCUGAAGCUUGCAUUUUGUGAGUUUUAGGAGGAAACUCGCUGUGCUUGUGUGUAUAUUUUCCCAUGCAUCUAACCAACACAAGGUGACAGAAAUAACACAGUUGUUACCGUUACCCUGCCCACCGACCUUUACAACAUUGUAUGGGAGGGGUAGUGCAGAUAUAAUGUGAUGUGGGAAUGCUUGUCCAUGCCCAAAUGGAAAUAGUUGUUUACUGGAUGGCAAGUACUGAAGUUUUAUCAGUGGGAGAACUAGGCAGGAAAAGUCUGCAGUUUGACUUUGCUAAACUUUUACACAAUUUUUCCUCCACGUGAAAUAUUUCCACAGGAAUCUAAGGUGUGUGGAAGAUGCUGGAUCACCAGGUGCAGAGAUUGAACUCUACCCACUGGAAAGGUUUUUCUGCAGCAGCCGCAGGUCUUCUCUUGCCUCUCAUGGGAACACUUAGCCUUUUGAUAAUGCCUCCUUCACAAUGAAGGGAAGAAAGGAUGGAUCAGCAGGAAUGUGCAAUGGAGUGAUGUCCACAUGGGGUGUUAACAGUCAUGAUGAUCCCUGUCCCGCUAACUUGGAUAAUUGAAUAAAAAAGUUGAAUUGUAA